AUUGAACGCUGGCGGAAUGCUUUACACAUGCAAGUCGAACGGCAGCACGGGGGCAACCCUGGUGGCGAGUGGCGAACGGGUGAGUAAUACAUCGGAACGUGCCCGGUCGUGGGGGAUAACGUAGCGAAAGUUACGCUAAUACCGCAUACGAUCUGAGGAUGAAAGCGGGGGACCUUCGGGCCUCGCGCGAUCGGAGCGGCCGAUGUCAGAUUAGGUAGUUGGUGGGGUAAAGGCCUACCAAGCCGACGAUCUGUAGCUGGUCUGAGAGGACGACCAGCCACACUGGGACUGAGACACGGCCCAGACUCCUACGGGAGGCAGCAGUGGGGAAUUUUGGGCAAUGGGCGCAAGCCUGAUCCAGCCAUUCCGCAUGCAGGACGAAGGCCUUCGGGUUGUAAACUGCUUUUGUAUGGAACGAAAAGGCUCUGGCUAAUACCUGGGGCUCAUGACGGUACCGUAAGAAUAAGCACCGGCUAACUACGUG
rnacentral:rRNA from 1 species